rnacentral:rRNA from 1 species
UACACAUGCAAGUCGAACGGUAACAGGGUGCUUGCACCGCUGACGAGUGGNGAACGGGUGAGUAAUGCGUCGGAACGUGCCGAGUAGUGGGGGAUAACGCAGCGAAAGUUGUGCUAAUACCGCAUACGUACUGAGGUAGAAAGUGGGGGACCUUCGGGCCUCACGCUAUUCGAGCGGCCGACGUCUGAUUAGCUAGUAGGUGAGGUAAAGGCUCACCUAGGCGACGAUCAGUAGCGGGUCUGAGAGGAUGAUCCGCCACACUGGGACUGAGACACGGCCCAGACUCCUACGGGAGGCAGCAGUGGGGAAUUUUGGACAAUGGGCGAAAGCCUGAUCCAGCCAUGCCGCGUGUCUGAAGAAGGCCUUCGGGUUGUAAAGGACUUUUGUCAGGGAGGAAAUCCCUAGUGCUAAUAACACUGGGGGAUGACAGUACCUGAAGAAUAAGCACCGGCUAACUACGUGCCAG